rnacentral:rRNA from 1 species
CCUGGUUGAUCCUGCCAGUAAGUCAUACUGCUUGUCUCAAAGAUUAAGCCAUGCAUGUGUAAGUAUGAACUAAUUCAGACUGUGAAAAACUGCGAAUGGCUCACUAAAUCAAGUUAUAAUUUGUUUGGAUGGUAUCUGCUACUCGGAUAACCCGUAGGUAAUUCUAGAGCUAAUAGUGCAACAAACCCCGACUUCUGGAAGGAUGCCAUUUAUUAGAUAACAGUCCGAACGGCGGGCUUCUGCCCGUUGCUCUGAUGAUUCACAUGAUAACUCGACGGAUCGCACGGACCAUCGUGCGGGACGCAUCAUUCAAACUUUCUGCCCUAUCAACUUUGAGGUAGGAUAGAGCCUACCAUGUGGUAACGGGUGACGGAGAAUUAGGGUCGAUUACGGAGAGGGAAGCCUGAGAAACGGCUACCACAUCCAAGGAGGCCAGCAGGCGCGCAAAUUACCCAAAUUCCUGACACGGGGAGGUAGUGACCAAUAAUAACAAAUACCCGGCUCUUCGAGUCUGGGAAUUGGAAUGAGUACAAUCAAAUCCUUAAACGAGGAUCCAUUGAGGGCAAGUUCUGGUGCCAGCAGCCAGCGGUAAAUUUCCAGCUCACCAAUAGCGAUAUUUAAGUUGUUGCACGUAAAAAGCUCGUACGUUGGACCUUGGGUUGGGUCGACCGGUCCCGCCUCGCGGUGUGCAUCCUGUCGCUCGUCCCUCUGCCGCGAUGCGCUCCUGCCUUUAACUGCCGGUCGUGCUCCGGCGCUGUUACUUUGAAGAAAUUAGAGUGCUCAAAGCAAGCCUACGCUCUGAUACAUUAGGCCAUGGGAUAACAUCAUAGGGAUUCGGUCCUAUUAGUUUCUGGCCUUCGGGAUCGGAGUAAAUGAUUUAACAAGGACCGUCGGGGGCAUUCGUAUUCAUAGUCAGAGUGAAAUUCUUGAUUUCUGAAUAGACGAACCAACUGCGAAAGCAUUUUGCCAAAGGAUGUUUUCAUUAAUCAAGAAAACGAAAGUUGCGGGGCUCGAAGACGAUCAGAUACCGUCCCUAGUCUCAACAAUAAACGAUGGGCGACCAGGGAAUCGGCGGAUGUUGCUUUUAGACCCGCCGGCACCUAAUGAGAAAAUCAAAGUCUUUGGGUUCGGGGGGAGUAUGGUCGCAAGGCUGAAACUUUAAAGGAAUUGACGGAAGGGCACCACCAGGAGUGGAGCCUAGCGGCUUUUAAAUUUGAACUCAACAACGGGGAAACUUACCAAGUCCAAGACCAUAGUAAGAUUGCAGAAACUGAGAGCUCUUUCUGAUUCUAAUGGGUGUGGUGCAUGGCCGUUCUAGUUGUGGAAGCGAUUUGUCUGGUUAUCCGUUACCGAACGAGACCUAGCUGCCUAACUAGCUAUGCGGAGGUGACCCUCCGGCGGCCACUUCUUAGGGGACUAUGGCCUUUUAGGCCAAGGAGUUGAGGCAUAACAGGUCUGUGAUGCCCUUAGAUGUUCUGGGCCGCACGCGCGCUAACACUGAUGAUUCACCGAGUCUCUAGCUUGGCCGACAAGCCCGGGUAAAUCUUUGAAAUUUCAUCGUGAUGGGAGAUCAAUUGCAUUGUUUGGUCUUCAACGAGGAAUUCCUAGUAACGCGAGUCAUCAGCUCGCGUUGACUACGUCCCUGCCCUUGUGUACACACCGCCCGUCGCUCCUACCGAUUGAAUGGUCCGGUGAAGUGUUCGGUCGCCGGCGACUGGGCGGUUUCGCCGCCGGCGACGUUCGCGAGAAGUUCCACUGAACCUUAAUCAAUUUAGAGGAAGGAAGAAGUCCGUAACAAGGUUUCCGUAGGUGAACCUGCGGAAG